rnacentral:rRNA from 1 species
UACGUAGGGGGCAAGCGUUGUCCGGAUUUAUUGGGCGUAAAGCGCUCGCAGGUGGUUCAUUGCGUCGUGCGUGAAAGACCCCGGCUCAACUGGGGAGGGUCGUGCGAAACGGGUGAACUAGAGGCCAGUAGGGGGAUGCGGAAUUCCGGGUGUAGUGGUGGAAUGCGUAGAGAUCCGGGGGAACACCAGCGGCGAAGGCGGCAUCCUGGACUGGUCCUGACACUCAGGAGCGAAAGCGUGGGGAGCGAUCCGG